CCACGAUCAUAAUAUUAGGAAUAUAAAGAAUCGAAAGUUAUACAUUUAUACAUGUAUAAAAAUGCUUUUUUUACAGGUUAUAUUAGCCACCAUAUUGGUUUCUUUCACUACACCUGAGUUUAUAAAAACAAUAGAUAUUAAAUUCAUGGAAUGCUCAACUUGCUAUGGAUGGCUACAUCCCAAAAUAUUCACAAACAUUGGUUACCAACAUUAAGCAAGCAAUAAUAUGCAUGUGAUGUCAUUAAAAGAGGAAACAAGAACAGAUUUUUUUUAUAUUAAUAAAUAAUUGGAUAGAAAAAAUAAAUGAUAUCACAAAAAAUAUGACGAUUAAUGUAAUCCACAAAAUAAAAUAUUUUUUUACAUA